GCCCGACUAGCUCAUCGGUAGAGCGCCUCACUAGUAUAUCUUCUCACGAAGUUUGGCUUGAAAAUGAGGAGGCAACAGGUUCGAUUCCUGUGUUGGGCA